UUCAGUCAAAACGGAAGGUGUUUCAGUAAAACCGGAAGGGCUUCCGUUCAACAAAAAUGCGCAAUUCACAGCGCGAUUCACGUGUUGAUCGUCAGCCACAUUGUUCGCAAACACUAAUGUCUGCCCAACAGCCUGCAAGCAGCCUAACCGAGGCAGCAGCGUUACUUCACACUGUACUUGCGUCAGCGGAGACCAUCAGAACCGUUGCAACUUCAAGCCGCGACACACUGGACAGUCACAUAGCGUCACUUUCCCCCUCCGGACAGCACAGCAGCAUGACACUGCCAACUGCAGCUCCAGUGUGAGCAACGCUUCAGCUCUUGGACAUCAGCCACGAGGUGGAAAAGGACUGGGACCACCAGACUGUUUUAGAACGCAUCAGGGAUGGCUUUGGUGAGCACAUUCCAGACGAUGUCAGCUAUAAGAGAGGACUGGUAAUACAUUGCUGGCAAAGCCAUUGCUGUGAGCUUGGUACAUGGCGGUCCACCACCAAACUUCCUCUCUCAGACAUAGCUGACACAGAACUCUUGGAAAAAGUCAAAAAGAUUCUGUGAAGGACUGAAAACUCUUUGGGUUCAGGACCAAAUACGACGACAUCCAGACAGCUUUCGACCCCUGUUCUGCUAUGAGCUGUGGAUGAUCUUUUCAGCAUUUGUCUCUCUCCAGAAGGGAGCAACAAGAGAGCUGCUGACGAGAUGGUCGUUACUUUCUGGAGGGACUAUCUCCAAAAUGCAGAGGAAGAAGAAGGGCCAUCCAAACUAGAGAAGAUAUUGGCCUUCACAACUUGAGCAUCUGACCAGUUCAUUCACAAAGGAGAUGAUGGCUUCUCUACAUCAAUGUUCCCUCUUGCCAACACAUGUGUUAACUGCAUCAACUUGCCACUACAUGUGUCUUACCAACUGUUCAAGGAGAAGUUUGACUUUGCAUUAGGGAACACAUAUGGGUUUGGCAGGGCAUGAACAUGUCAUGCUCUGAAAACUUUUUCUGUCUGUGUCUCACUUUCUCUGUUUGUCUCUACCUUUCUGCUUGUCUGUCUGUUUUCUGAAAAAAGUUUCAAACAAGAGUUAUUAUUUUCAUUUCUGAAUGCCGUAUGCAAUAUAACUUAUGUAUUUUAUAUAGUUUCACCACGAUUCAGUUGACUCAGUCAGCCUAUGUUUUAAAACAUAUUUACAUUUUAACGGCAUGUUUCAUAUUUUUACCAAACUUUUUACCAAAUGUUAAUUUAUUUUUCAUAAAAUGUUUUACGUUUUAACAAAACUUUAAUUCACAGAAUACACUGCACAAGUGAAGAAAACAUUUUAACAAACCUUAACAUAACUCCUAUGCUAUUCACUUAAAGGAACACACCGACUUAUUGGGAAUUUAGCUUAUUCACCGUAACCCCCAGAGUUAGACAAGUCGAUACAUACCCUUCUCAUCUCAGUGCG